GAGGUUGUGCCCUUGAGGCGUGGCUUCCGGAGCUAACGCGUUAAAUCGACCGCCUGGGGAGUACGGCCGCAAGGUUAAAACUCAAAUGAAUUGACGGGGGCCCGCACAAGCGGUGGAGCAUGUGGUUUAAUUCGAUGCAACGCGAAGAACCUUACCUGGUCUUGACAUCCACAGAACUUUCCAGAGAUGGAUUGGUGCCUUCGGGAACUGUGAGACAGGUGCUGCAUGGCUGUCGUCAGCUCGUGUUGUGAAAUGUUGGGUUAAGUCCCGCAACGAGCGCAACCCUUAUCCUUUGUUGCCAGCGGUUCGGCCGGGAACUCAAAGGAGACUGCCAGUGAUAAACUGGAGGAAGGUGGGGAUGACGUCAAGUCAUCAUGGCCCUUACGACCAGGGCUACACACGUGCUACAAUGGCAUAUACAAAGAGAAGCGACCUCGCGAGAGCAAGCGGACCUCAUAAAGUAUGUCGUAGUCCGGAUUGGAGUCUGCAACUCGACUCCAUGAAGUCGGAAUCGCUAGUAAUCGUAGAUCAGAAUGCUACGGUGAAUACGUUCCCGGGCCUUGUACACACCG
rnacentral:rRNA from 1 species